GUAGGUGGCAAGCGUUGUCCGGAAUUAUUGGGCGUAAAGCGCGCGCAGGCGGUUCUUUAAGUCUGAUGUGAAAGCCCGCGGCUCAACCGUGGAGGGUCAUUGGAAACUGGAGAACUUGAGUACAGAAGAGGAAAGCGGAAUUCCACGUGUAGCGGUGAAAUGCGUAGAGAUGUGGAGGAACACCAGUGGCGAAGGCGGCUUUCUGGUCUGUAACUGACGCUGAGGCGCGAAAGCGUGGGGAGCAAACAGGGAUUAGAUACCCUGGUAGUCCACGCCGUAAACGAUGAGUGCUAAGUGUUAGGGGGGUUUCCGCCCCCUUAGUGCUGCAGCUAACGCAUUAAGCACUCCGCCUGGGGAGUACGGCCGCAAGGCUG
rnacentral:rRNA from 1 species